rnacentral:rRNA from 1 species
UACAGAGGUGGCAAGCGUUGUUCGGAAUUACUGGGCGUAAAGGGCGCGUAGGCGGCCUUGUAAGUCCUGUGUGAAAUCCCCCGGCUCAACUGGGGAACUGCACAGGAGACUGCUUGGCUUGAGUUCGGGAGAGGGAAGCGGAAUUCCGGGUGUAGUGGUGAAAUGCGUAGAGAUCCGGAGGAAUACCAGAGGCGAAGGCGCCUUGCCAGGUCUAAUCUGACACUCAGACGCGAAAGCAUGGGGAGCGAACGGG